UUAUUUGGCGUAAAGGGAGCGCAGGCGGUUUUUUAAGUCUGAUGUGAAAGCCUUCGGCUCAACCGAAGAAGUGCAUCGGAAACUGGGAAACUUGAGUGCAGAAGAGGACAGUGGAACUCCAUGUGUAGCGGUGAAAUGCGUAGAUAUAUGGAAGAACACCAGUGGCGAAGGCGGCUGUCUGGUCUGUAACUGACGCUGAGGCUCGAAAGUAUGGGUAGCAAACAGGAUUAGAUACCCUGGUAGUCCAUACCGUAAACGAUGAAUGCUAAGUGUUGGAGGGUUUCCGCCCUUCAGUGCUGCAGCUAACGCAUUAAGCAUUCCGCCUGGGGAGUACGGCCGCAAGGCUGAAACUCAAAGGAAUUGACGGGGGCCCGCACAAGCGGUGGAGCAUGUGGUUUAAUUCGAAGCUACGCGAAGAACCUUACCAGGUCUUGACAUACUAUGCAAAUCUAAGAGAUUAGACGUUCCCUUCGGGGACAUGGAUACAGGUGGUGCAUGGUUGUCGUCAGCUCGUGUCGUGAGAUGUUGGGUUAAGUCCCGCAACGAGCGCAACCCUUAUUAUCAGUUGCCAGCAUUAAGUUGGGCACUCUGGUGAGACUGCCGGUGACAAACCGGAGGAAGGUGGGGAUGACGUCAAAUCAUCAUGCCCCUUAUGACCUGGGCUACACACGUGCUACAAUGGAUGGUACAACGAGUUGCGAACUCGCGAGAGUAAGCUAAUCUCUUAAAGCCAUUCUCAGUUCGGAUUGUAGGCUGCAACUCGCCUACAUGAAGUCGGAAUCGCUAGUAAUCGCGGAUCAGCAUGCCGCGGUGAAUACGUUCCCGGGCCUUGUACACACCGCCCGUCACACCAUGAGAGUUUGUAACACCCAAAGUCGGUGGGGUAACCUUUUAGGAACCAGCCGCCUAAGGUGGGACAGAGAUUAGGGGAAGUGAACAGAGCGCCC
rnacentral:rRNA from 2 species